rnacentral:rRNA from 1 species
UACGAAGGGGGCUAGCGUUGCUCGGAAUUACUGGGCGUAAAGGGCGCGUAGGCGGUCAUUUUAGUCAGGCGUGAAAUUCCCGGGCUUAACCUGGGGACUGCGCUUGAUACUGGGUGACUAGAGGGUGGAAGAGGGUCGUGGAAUUCCCAGUGUAGAGGUGAAAUUCGUAGAUAUUGGGAAGAACACCGGUGGCGAAGGCGGCGACCUGGUCCAUUACUGACGCUGAGGCGCGACAGCGUGGGGAGCAAACAGGAUUAGAAACCCCAGUAGUCC